rnacentral:rRNA from 1 species
AUUGAACGCUGGCGGCAGGCCUAACACAUGCAAGUCGAGCGGUAGAGAGAAGCUUGCUUCUCUUGAGAGCGGCGGACGGGUGAGUAAUGCCUAGGAAUCUGCCUGGUAGUGGGGGAUAACGUUCGGAAACGGACGCUAAUACCGCAUACGUCCUACGGGAGAAAGCAGGGGACCUUCGGGCCUUGCGCUAUCAGAUGAGCCUAGGUCGGAUUAGCUAGUUGGUGAGGUAAUGGCUCACCAAGGCGACGAUCCGUAACUGGUCUGAGAGGAUGAUCAGUCACACUGGAACUGAGACACGGUCCAGACUCCUACGGGAGGCAGCAGUGGGGAAUAYUGGMCAAUGGGCGAAAGCCUGAUCCAGCCAUGCCGCGUGUGUGAAGAAGGUCUUCGGAUUGUAAAGCACUUUAAGUUGGGAGGAAGGGCAUUAACCUAAUACGUUAGUGUUUUGACGUUACCGACAGAAUAAGCACCGGCUAA